rnacentral:rRNA from 1 species
GGGUUGUGAGGUUAAGCGACUAAGCGUACACGGUGGAUGCCCUGGCAGUCAGAGGCGAUGAAGGGCGUGCUAAUCUGCGAUAAGCGCCGGUAAGGUGAUAUGAACCGUUAUAACCGGCGAUACCCGAAUGGGGAAACCCAGUGUGACUCGUCACACUAUCAUUAACUGAAUCCAUAGGUUAAUGAGGCGAACCGGGGGAACUGAAACAUCUAAGUACCCCGAGGAAAAGAAAUCAACCGAGAUUCCCCCAGUAGCGGCGAGCGAACGGGGAGGAGCCCAGAGCCUGAAUCAGCAUGUGUGUUAGUGGAAGCGUCUGGAAAGGCGCGCGAUACAGGGUGACAGCCCCGUACACAAAAGCGCAUGUGCUGUGAGCUCGAUGAGUAGGGCGGGACACGUGGUAUCCUGUCUGAAUAUGGGGGGAC